rnacentral:misc_RNA from 1 species
UGAGAGCUUUUCUGUCCACUUUUCUUUAAAAUUAAUGUACAUUUAGCUUAAAAUAUUUUUAAAUAAUUUAUAGUGUUUAAGUGCACAACAGUCAGUUAUGUUUAAUAAAACAACUCUGCUAAGUGUUGUGUAAUAUAGUUCAGAGCAAUAUAGAUAAAUGCAACAAAAAAAAUAAUAAACACAGUUACGUUUUUGAAGUAAAACUUCUUUAUGUACGCUUGACUUGGGGAGUAAGCUGGUGAAUGCGUUACGAGAGCGUGAUGAAAAGUGUGAUUAGGCGAGGCAAACAGAAAAGUUUUACUUCAGUCGUGUGGUCUAAAGCACACUCGUUUUGUUUU